UGGCGGACGGGUGAGUAAUGUCUGGGAAACUACCUGAUGGAGGGGGAUAACUACUGGAAACGGUAGCUAAUACCGCAUAACGUCGCAAGACCAAAGAGGGGGACCUUAGGGCCUCUUGCCAUCGGAUGUGCCCAGAUGGGAUUAGCUAGUAGGUGGGGUAACGGCUCACCUAGGCGACGAUCCCUAGCUGGUCUGAGAGGAUGACCAGCCACACUGGAACUGAGACACGGUCCAG
rnacentral:rRNA from 1 species